rnacentral:rRNA from 1 species
AUACGUAGGUGACAAGCGUUAUCCGGAUUUACUGGGCGUAAAGGGCGUGUAGGCGGUCUUGCAAGUCAGAAGUGAAAUUCCUGAGCUCAACUCGGGCGCUGCUUCUGAAACUGCAGGACUUGAGUGCUGGAGGGGAUAGCGGAAUUCCUAGUGGAGCGGUAAAAUGCGCAGAUAUUAGGAAGAACACCGGUGGCGAAGGCGGCUAUCGGGACAGUAACUGACGCUGAGGCGCGAAAGCGUGGGGAGCAAACAGGAUUAGAUCCCCUGGUAGUCCACGCCGUAAACGAUGAAUACUAGGUGUAGGGGGUAUCGACUCCCUCUGUGCCGCAGUUAACACAAUAAGUAUUCCGCCUGGGGAGUACGGCCGCAAGGUUGAAACUUAAAGGAAUUGACGGGG